GAUGAACGCUGGCGGCGUGCCUAAUACAUGCAAGUCGAGCGAACAGACGAGGAGCUUGCUCCUCUGACGUUAGCGGCGGACGGGUGAGUAACACGUGGAUAACCUACCUAUAAGACUGGGAUAACUUCGGGAAACCGGAGCUAAUACCGGAUAAUAUAUUGAACCGCAUGGUUCAAUAGUGAAAGACGGUUUUGCUGUCACUUAUAGAUGGAUCCGCGCCGCAUUAGCUAGUUGGUAAGGUAACGGCUUACCAAGGCAACGAUGCGUAGCCGACCUGAGAGAGAGAUGGGGCAAAAGGGAACAGAGACACGGACAGGGCACCGAGGGGAGGCAGCAGCGGGGAAUAGGGGAGAAAGGUCGAAAGCCUGAACAAGCCAUGUCGAGGGGAUGAAGAAGUGUUUCGGAUUGUAAAACACUUUAAGUGGGGAAGAAGGAGAGGGAGAUAAUAACUUGCGGGCUAGACGUCACCAACAGAAUCAAAAACGGCUAACUUCGUC
rnacentral:rRNA from 1 species